GAUGAACGCUGGCGGCGUGCCUAAUACAUGCAAGUCGAGCGAACAGACGAGGAGCUUGCUCCUCUGAUGUUAGCGGCGGACGGGUGAGUAACACGUGGAUAACCUACCUAUAAGACUGGGAUAACUUCGGGAAACCGGAGCUAAUACCGGAUAACAUGUUGAACCGCAUGGUUCAACAGUGAAAGACGGUCUUGCUGUCACUUAUAGAUGGAUCCGCGCCGCAUUAGCUAGUUGGUAAGGUAACGGCUUACCAAGGCAACGAUGCGUAGCCGACCUGAGAGGGUGAUCGGCCACACUGGAACUGAGACACGGUCCAGACUCCUACGGGAGGCAGCAGUAGGGAAUCUUCCGCAAUGGGCGAAAGCCUGACGGAGCAAACGCCGCGUGAGUGAAGAAGGUCUUCGGAUCGUAAAACUCUGUUAUUAGGGAAGAACAAAUGUGUAAGUAACUAUGCACGUCUUGACGGUACCUAAUCAGAAAGCCACGGCUAACUACGUG
rnacentral:rRNA from 1 species